rnacentral:rRNA from 1 species
UACGUAGGGCGCGAGCGUUGUCCGGAUUUAUUGGGCGUAAAGAGCUCGUAGGCGGCUCGUUGCGUCAACCGUGAAAACCCACGGCUUAACUGUGGGCUUGCGGUCGAUACGGGCAGGCUGGAGUUCGGUAGGGGAGACUGGAAUUCCUGGUGUAGCGGUGAAAUGCGCAGAUAUCAGGAGGAACACCGGUGGCGAAGGCGGGUCUCUGGGCCGAUACUGACGCUGAGGAGCGAAAGCGUGGGGAGCGAACAGG